CUACGUGCCAGCAGCCGCGGUAAUACGUAGGUGGCAAGCGUUGUCCGGAAUUAUUGGGCGUAAAGCGCGCGCAGGCGGAUCAGUCAGUCUGUCUUAAAAGUUCGGGGCUUAACCCCGUGAUGGGAUGGAAACUGCCAAUCUAGAGUAUCGGAGAGGAAAGUGGAAUUCCUAGUGUAGCGGUGAAAUGCGCAGAUAUUAGGAAGAACACCAGUGGCGAAGGCGACUUUCUGGACGAAAACUGACGCUGAGGCGCGAAAGCCAGGGGAGCGAACGGGAUUAGAUACCCCGGUAGUCCUGGCCGUAAACGAUGGGUACUAGGUGUAGGAGGUAUCGACCCCUUCUGUGCCGGAGUUAACGCAAUAAGUACCCCGCCUGGGGAGUACGACCGCAAGGUUGAAACUCAAAGGAAUUGACGGGGGCCCGCACAAGCGGUGGAGUAUGUGGUUUAAUUCGACGCAACGCGAAGAACCUUACCAGGUCUUGACAU
rnacentral:rRNA from 1 species